AUCCAGCUGCUGAGUCCUAAAUAUGACGAAACGUGCGUCGUGUAU
rnacentral:hammerhead_ribozyme from 1 species